rnacentral:tRNA from 1 species
UAGCCUAGCGGUUAAGGCUUUGGAUCGCCAAUCCGGAGACGGCGGGUUCGAUUCCCGU